GCCCCUUAAUCUCUUGCGCCCUUCCUGAAGUUGGCACCCUCUGUCUUGGCCAUUGGAUGGGCUUCCUUCCAGAUCCAAAGGCAAGGGUUGGUGGCGCCAAUAAGAGAAGCUUUGUGACUUCUCAUGUGAACACCGUAAGUUAAGAUCGAAGAGUCCUUCUGAAAUAAGGCGCCUCUUCAACCCAACUUUGAUGUACACAUGGCAUUUGAUAAUUUAUGGGGUGUGAGAAAUAGAAAGGAGGCAUGAGAUAAAGUGUGAGAUGGCAUGAGAUGUUUUGGUUUGCACCCCUAUGUGCAAUAUAAAUAGGGGUGCACGCCGAGGAGUCUUCGUGCAUUCAGAAUUCUUCCUUCUUUCUUACAAGAGGCUUUUAUUGUCCAAUUUUCUUUAUUCUUUCUCUCUAGCCUAGAUAAGAUCCUGAUAAAGGACAAAAAGUCUUCCAAAAGGGCUUAGAGAAUUGGAAUAAAAAUUAAAGAGACAAGGAGCA
rnacentral:lncRNA from 1 species